AACAAUAUUAUAUCAGUAAACACCAAGACCCAGCACAAACAUUAGAGGCAGCACAUAUAGUUGAUCCUUUUCUUCUUGAGAUGCUGAAUGCUGGGGUGGCGGUAUAGGGAAUUAUCAAGGGGUUGUGUACUUGGUUCAUAUAAAACAAGAUCCAGCAAGAACGUUAGAAGUACUGUGCUGGGUUGAUCCUUCUCAUCUUGGACCCUUGAAUGUUUGGUGGUAUUGUAGAGAAUGAUCAUAAGGUUGUGUGUGUAUGUGUUUGACCAUCCUGAAGUGCUCCAAGACUAUCCUAUUGUAGAGAAUGAUCAUAAAGUUGUGUGUGUACCUGUUUGACCAUCCUGAAGUGCUCCAAGACUAUCCUAUUGUAGAGAAUGAUCAUAAGGUUGUGUGUGUACGUGUUUGACUAUCCUGAAGUGCUCCAAGACUAUCCUAUUGUAGAGAAUGAUCAUAAGGUUGUGUGUGUACGUGUUUGACUAUCCUGAAGUGCUCCAAGACUAUCCUAUUGUAGAGAAUGAUCAUAAAGUUGUG